rnacentral:rRNA from 1 species
UACGUAGGGUGCAAGCGUUGUCCGGAAUUAUUGGGCGUAAAGGGCUCGUAGGCGGUCCAUCGCGUCGGGAGUGAAAAGCUGGGGCUCAACCCCAGUCCUGCUUCCGAUACGGGUGGACUAGAGGUAGGCAGGGGAGAACGGAAUUCCUGGUGUAGCGGUGAAAUGCGCAGAUAUCUGGAGGAAUACCGGUGGCGAAGGCGGCAUCCUGGACCGGCAUUGACGCUGAGGAGCGAAAGCCAGGGGAGCAAACGGG